rnacentral:rRNA from 1 species
AGAGCGAACGCUGGCGGCAGGCUUAACACAUGCAAGUCGAGCGGGCGUAGCAAUACGUCAGCGGCAGACGGGUGAGUAACGCGUGGGAACAUACCUCUUGGUUCGGAACAACACAGGGAAACUUGUGCUAAUACCGGAUAAGCCCUUACGGGGAAAGAUUUAUCGCCGAGAGAUUGGCCCGCGUCUGAUUAGCUAGUUGGUAGGGUAAUGGCCUACCAAGGCGACGAUCAGUAGCUGGUCUGAGAGGAUGAUCAGCCACAUUGGGACUGAGACACGGCCCAAACUCCUACGGGAGGCAGCAGUGGGGAAUAUUGGACAAUGGGGGCAACCCUGAUCCAGCCAUGCCGCGUGAGUGAUGAAGGCCCUAGGGUUGUAAAGCUCUUUGUGCGGGAAGAUAAUGACGGUACCGCAAGAAUAAGCCCGGCUAACUUCGUGCCAGCAGCCGC